AACGAACGCUGGCGGCAUGCCUAACACAUGCAAGUCGAACGAGACCUUCGGGUCUAGUGGCGCACGGGUGCGUAACGCGUGGGAACCUGCCCUUAGGUUCGGAAUAACUCCCCGAAAGGGGUGCUAAUACCGGAUAAUGUCUUCGGACCAAAGAUUUAUCGCCUUUGGAUGGGCCCGCGUUGGAUUAGCUAGUUGGUAGGGUAAAAGCCUACGAAGGCGACGAUCCAUAGCUGGUCUGAGAGGAUGAUCAGCCACACUGGGACUGAGACACGGCCCAGAAUCCUACGGGAGGCAGCAGUGGGGAAUAUUGGACAAUGGGCGAAAGCCUGAUCCAGCAAUGCCGCGUGAGUGAUGAAGGCCUUAGGGUUGUAAAGCUCUUUUACCCGGGAUGAUAAUGACAGUACCGGGAGAAUAAGCUCCGGCUAACUCCGUG
rnacentral:rRNA from 1 species